GAUGAACGCUGGCGGCGUGCUUAACACAUGCAAGUCGAACGGAAAGGCCAUGCUUGCCGGGUACUUGAGUGGCGACCGGGCGAGUACCACGUGGGUGAUCUGCCCUACACUUCGGAGUAAGCUGGGGAAACCGGGUCAAAUCCAGGAUAGGAACCAUCUUUAUCGUGGUGGUUCGAUAGAUUUUUCGGUGACGGAUAAUCUCGCGGGCUGUCAGCUUGUUGGUGGGGUUAUGGCCCUCCAUGGCGGCGACGGGUGGCCGGCCAGAGAUGGUGUACGGCGGCAAGGGGCCAGAGAAACGACGCAGGCUCCUACGAGAGGCAGCAGUGGAGAAUAUUGCACAAUGAGCGCAAGCCUGAUGCAGAGACGCAGCGGGGGGGAUGAAGGCCAUCGCGUUGUAAACUCCUUUCGCUAGGGAAGGAGCGAUGUUGUGACGGUACCUAGAUAAAAAGCACCGGCUAACUACGUG
rnacentral:rRNA from 1 species